UACGGAAGGGGCAAGCGUUGUUCGGAUUUACUGGGCGUAAAGGGCGCGUAGGCGGCCACCGCAAGUCGGUUGUGAAAUCUCCGGGCUUAACCCGGAAAGGUCAAUCGAUACUGCGGGGCUAGAGUGCAGAAGGGGCAACUGGAAUUCUUGGUGUAGCGGUGAAAUGCGUAGAUAUCAAGAGGAACACCCGUGGCGAAGGCGGUUCUCUGGGACGGUACUGACGCUGAGACGCGAAAGCGUGGGGAGCGAACAGG
rnacentral:rRNA from 1 species